ensembl:lncRNA
AAAAGUUCCAGAACCAGAUGCAGACACACCCGGAGCCUAUAAACUACCACCGCCGAGCAAGGACUAACAGUCACAUGAGGAGAUCAAAUAACAGCAGGAUUUGAAUCGAACCAGAUGCAGACACACCCGGAGCCUACAAACUACCACCGCCGAGCAAGGACUAACAGUCACAUGAGGAGAUCAAAUAACAGCAGGAUUUGAAUCGCACCGGAUGGGUUGGUGGCCAGGGCGCUGGUAUGAUUACAAUCCCUCAGGUUAGAAUUGGCAGAGAACUCCGGCAUUAAUGACCCUUUCACAGGAUGGAUGGAGAAUAUGUCUGGGA